CAUGUCUUUUUGAAAAUAAUUUAAGGUCUAAUCUGCCCGCUGAGGAUUUGAAUGGCCGCGGUAUUUUGACCGUGCAAAGGUAGCAUAAUCAUUAGUUUUUUGAUUGAAAGCUGGAAUGAAUGAUUGGACGAGAAAAUUUCUGUCUCUGAUUAAUUUUUUGUAAAAUUUAACUUUUGAGUUAAAAGGCUCAAAUGGGUUUGAAAGACGAGAAGACCCUAUAGAGUUUAAUUCAUUUAUUUUGAUUCUUAAUUUAGGAAUUUAUUUUAACUUUUCUUUAAGUGAAUUUUGUUGGGGUGAUGGGAAGAUUAAUUAAACUCUUUUUAUUUAUUUAACAAUUGUUUUUGGUAUUUUGAUCCAAUUUUUUUGAUUAAAAGUUUAAAUUACCUUAGGGAUAACAGCGUAAUUUUUAUAGAGAGUUCUUAUCGAAAUAAAGGAUUGCGACCUCGAUGUUGGAUUAAAGUUAAUUUUUAGUGCAGAAGCUUUAAAUAUUAGGUCUGUUCGACCUUUAAAACUUUACAUGAUCUGAGU
rnacentral:rRNA from 1 species